CUGCUGACUGCCGCUGAACUUUCUAAACCUUCCUCUCUGUCAGUGAGCAGCCUGUUGGAAGAGAAGGGCUAUCAGGUUCCUGUGCUAAGAGAACCAGCAUUACCAAGCCUUCUGGGCCCCCAAGGACAAUCAGUACCCCCAACUGGUCAUCCAGUGAGGGCCAGUCCAGUUCGCUCAGCAGGUGGCAGACCAGGCUGGGAACUGUAAGUAUUCUACAGAAAUGCAAUAUAU